UACAGAGGUGGCAAGCGUUGUUCGGAAUUACUGGGCGUAAAGGGCGCGUAGGCGGCCUUCUAAGUCAGACGUGAAAUCCCCCGGCUUAACCUGGGAACUGCGUCUGAUACUGGAUGGCUUGAGUUUGGGAGAGGGACGCGGAAUUCCAGGUGUAGCGGUGAAAUGCGUAGAUAUCUGGAGGAACACCGGUGGCGAAGGCGGCGUCCUGGACCAACACUGACACUGAUGAGCGAAAGCCAGGGGAGCAAACGGG
rnacentral:rRNA from 1 species